UCGGAUAUGGUGUAAUGGCUAACAUUACCGCCUCUCAUAUCAGCAUGAUCGCGGUAGCUCGGGGUUCGAUUCCCCGUAUCCGAG